AUUGAACGCUGGCGGCAGGCUUAACACAUGCAAGUCGAGCGGAGAUGAGGUGCUUGCACCUUAUCUUAGCGGCGGACGGGUGAGUAAUGCUUAGGAAUCUGCCUAUUAGUGGGGGACAACAUUCCGAAAGGAAUGCUAAUACCGCAUACGCCCUACGGGGGAAAGCAGGGGAUCUUCGGACCUUGCGCUAAUAGAUGAGCCUAAGUCGGAUUAGCUAGUUGGUGGGGUAAAGGCCUACCAAGGCGACGAUCUGUAGCGGGUCUGAGAGGAUGAUCAGCCACACUGGGACUGGGACACGGCGCAGACUCCGACGGGAGGCAGCAGUGGGGAAUAUUGGACAAUGGGCGGAAGCCUGAUCCAGCCAUGCCGCGUGUGUGAAGAAGGCCUUUUGGUUGUAAAGCACUUUAAGCGAGGAGGAGGCUACCUGGAUUAAUACUCUAGGAUAGUGGACGUUACUCGCAGAAUAAGCACCGGCUAACUCUGUGCCAGCAGCCGCCGUAACAC
rnacentral:rRNA from 1 species